AUGAAUGCAUGUAACAAACAAAAUAUCACAUAUAGAUAUCAUAUAUCACAUAGAUAUAUAUGUAGAAAUAUGUAUUGAAAGAAAGAAAAAGAAAGAAAGGAAAGAAAGAAGAAAGGAAGGAAAAAGGUGGAAGAAGUGAAGAGAAAACACGAAAACAUUCUGAAUACAAAAGAAUCAAAUAAAUAUAUAAUGGGAGACAAAAAAGAAUUUUAAAAUGAGAUAUGAA
rnacentral:lncRNA from 10 species